AUUUAUAUAGUUUAAACUUAAAACUUUACAUUUUCAAUGUAAAAAUAAAAUAUUAUAUUUUUAUAAAUA
rnacentral:tRNA from 1 species